rnacentral:tRNA from 1 species
GAGGGUAUAGCUCAGUGGUAGAGAGCCUGCUUAGCAUGCAUGAGGUCCCGGGUUCAUUCCCCAGUAACUACA